GAUGAACGCUGGCGGCGUGCCUAAUACAUGCAAGUCGAGCGAACGGACGAGAAGCUUGCUUCUCUGAUGUUAGCGGCGGACGGGUGAGUAACACGUGGAUAACCUACCUAUAAGGCUGGGAUAACUUCGGGAAACCGGAUAUUAUCCCGGAUAAUAUUUUGAACCGCAUGGUUCAAAAGUAAAAUACGGUCUUACUGUUACUUAUAGAUGGAUCCGCGCUUCAUUAGCUAGUUGGUAAGGUAACGGCUUACCAAGGCAACGAUUCAUCGCCGACCUGGGAGGGUGAUCGGCCACCCUGGAACUGAGACACGGCCCAGACUCCUACGGGAGGCAGCAGAAGGGAUUCUUCCGCAAUGGGCGAAAGCCUGACGGAGCAACGCCGCGUGAGUGAUGAAGGUCUUCGGAUCGUAAAACUCUGUUAUUAGGGAAGAACAUAUGUGUAAGUAACUGUGCACAUCUUGACGGUACCUAAUCAGAAAGCCACGGCUAACUACGUG
rnacentral:rRNA from 1 species